rnacentral:misc_RNA from 1 species
AAUUCUCAACUUCAUUAGUUUUUAUAAACUAAUUGAAGCUUGGAUGUGGGGGUUUGCUGGCGUCAUUAAGAUGUUUUCGGCUCCCCUUAAAUGCAUUAGUAGGAACCCGUUUGUUGGCGUCCUUGGUGUGAUAAUUAUCUACACUUUGGUUAGUCUGACAGGCUCUAAUGAAGCUUAUACUGUGAGGUUUUGCACAUUUGGUGCUUUUCCUGAGUAUGGGGUUUUGUAUUCUUAUGAAUGCUUUACCUGAUCUUUUCAUUAGAGUAGGAACUCUGCUCUCUAACUGUCUGCGUAUUGUGGACAACUUUUGACA